rnacentral:rRNA from 1 species
AACGAACGCUGGCGGCAGGCCUAACACAUGCAAGUCGAGCGCCCCGCAAGGGGAGCGGCGGACGGGUGAGUAACGCGUGGGAACGUACCUUUUGCUUCGGAAUAGCCUCGGGAAACUGGGAGUAAUACCGAAUGUGCCCUAUGGGGGAAAGAUUUAUCGGCAAAAGAUCGGCCCGCGUUGGAUUAGGUAGUUGGUGGGGUAAUGGCCUACCAAGCCGACGAUCCAUAGCUGGUUUGAGAGGAUGAGCAGCCACACUGGGACUGAGACACGGCCCAGACUCCUACGGGAGGCAGCAGUGGGGAAUCUUAGACAAUGGGCGCAAGCCUGAUCUAGCCAUGCCGCGUGAGCGAUGAAGACCUUAGGGUUGUAAAGCUCUUUCGUGGGGGAAGAUAAUGACUGUACCCCAAGAAGAAGCCCCGGCUAACUCCGUGCCAGCCGCCGCCGUAAAAC